rnacentral:rRNA from 1 species
GUAGGUGGCAGGCGUUGUCCGGAAUUAUUGGGGCGUAAAGCGCGCGCAGGCGGUUCUUUAAGUCUGAUGUGAAAGCCCACGGGCUCAACCGUGGAGGGUCAUUGGAAACUGGAGAACUUGAGUACAGAAGAGGAAAGCGGAAUUCCACGUGUAGCGGUGAAAUGCGUAGAGAUGUGGAGGAACACCAGUGGCGAAGGCGGCUUUCUGGUCUGUAACUGACGCUGAGGCGCGAAAGCGUGGGGAGCAAACAGGAUUAGAUACCCUGGUAGUCCACGCCGUAAACGAUGAGUGCUAAGUGUUAGGGGGUUUCCGCCCCUUAGUGCUGCAGCUAACGCAUUAAGCACUCCGCCUGGGGAGUACGGCCGCAAAGGCUGA